GGCUUCGUAGCCCAAUUGAUAGAGCGCCCCCCGCGUUUGGGCAUGGUGUUUCUGUUGCUGGUUCGAAUCCGGCUGAAGCCC